UCCCGGCGAAAAGUCCUUCCCCUACCUUCUUCCUUCAUGGUGAGCGAUCUCCAGCCCCCUACCUCCCGCAUCUUCGCCGCCAGCCUCCUCCCACGCGCGCUAGGGUAGCCUGCGUCCUACCAUCUCUGCGGCGCCGCCUGCGACUUCACCAGCAUGUAAAUCCCUGUAGAUGCGGGGAGCUGGACAUGGAGGAUUGCCUCCGCCAGGCUGAGGGGUCGACCUGGAAGCCGCCUUGAAUGACCACAACGGAUCUGGCCAUCAGCGAGUAGGCCGAGCCUCCUGCUCCGGCCACGGCCAUCCCGACGUCGGAUCUGGUGCUCAUGCUAUGUUCUUCUCCUCGUGCAACCCCUCCCCCAUGUUUAUUUUGCCUCUGUCCUACCCCGCUCUGCAUCAACUAACUCGGCGCUGCAUGAUCCUGGGGCAGCGAGGUUGAUCGGAUGGUGUUCGUCAUGUUAGGAAGAUGAGUGUGUAACUCAUGGAGUGCAAUUUGUUGCGUGUUAGGAAGUGGCCGUGACCUUGAUGGGUUGGGGCUCGCCUCCCACACUUCUCUUCCUCGUGUACAACAACCAUGGCGGCCCCUACGUGUCGAAUUGUUGAUGGAGGCUUUAGGUCGUCCUCCUCAAGGAGCUGAGGCUGGCCAUUAAGGAUCUGGGGUGAAGGUCAUGUCAUCUCUUCUCGUGGCUCUAAUGCCCACUGCUUCCACUGCUUAUAUUUUGAGCUCUUUGAUCUGAGCAAAAACCAUGGGAAGGUACUGCUGAAUCAAUAGCAGCAUGCCAGAAACUGAAGGCAGACAGACCUCCAAGCAGCAUUCUGUGUCCUCCCAAAGGACAUGCAGCAGCUGCUGCUUUCCAAUCCUAAACGAGCCGUACUUCUUCAAGCGAGCCAAGAAAAGGUCUCAAGACUUGGGGACAUUGUCUCCCAGACAAGUUUGUAGCAGUUCACUUUUUCUUUGUACUAUUAAUAUUGCAAUUCUUUUAUCCACAGAGUAAAAAAUCCGUACGAUUUUUUAUACAUGGGUGCUGGCCUGCUGGAUUUGACUCACUUUUAUCCACAAAGUCUAAAAUUUACACGCAUUUUUUAUAUAUACAUGGCUGCUGGAUUUGACUCAAAUUACCUUUGUGUCUCACCCU